AUGUAUGCUGAUGACUUCUCCAUAUAUGAGAUUUCUUUUGUCCUUAGAAACCAACUUGAAAACUUCAUUGCUGAUGUGAGAGCUGAUUCAAGUUUUGUUAGUUGUAAUGACCUUUGUAGUCUUGCUGUGAAGAUGGUUCAAACUGAUAGACACAUAGUCUUUCCUUUGGUAUAUCGUCUUAUUAAGUUGGCAUUGAUUUUGCCUGUUGCAACCGCAUCAGUGGAAAGAGCUUUCUCAGCUAUGAGUAUUAUCAAGACUGAGUUGAGGAAUAAGAUGGGUGAUGAUUGGUUGAAUUAUUCCAUGGUGUGCAAUAUUGAGCGAGAAAUAUUUGCAAAGGUUGAUGAUGAUGCUAUUAUAUAUCGCUUUCAAGCCUAUAGAUUUCGCAAAGGAACUUUACCUCCUCGUAGUAGUGUUGGCUCUUCUUCCACCGUUGAUCAAGUUAUGGAAGACACUGAU
rnacentral:rRNA from 1 species